UGCCUCUUCACCACAGCAGCCUCC
rnacentral:piRNA from 1 species